rnacentral:rRNA from 1 species
AACGAACGCUGGCGGCAUGCCUAACACAUGCAAGUCGAACGAAGGCUUCGGCCUUAGUGGCGCACGGGUGCGUAACGCGUGGGAAUCUGCCCUUGGGUUCGGAAUAACUCAGAGAAAUUUGAGCUAAUACCGAAUGAUGUCGAAAGACCAAAGAUUUAUCGCCCAAGGAUGAGCCCGCGUAGGAUUAGCUUGUUGGUGAGGUAAAGGCUCACCAAGGCGACGAUCCUUAGCUGGUCUGAGAGGAUGAUCAGCCACACUGGGACUGAGACACGGCCCAGACUCCUACGGGAGGCAGCAGUGGGGAAUAUUGGACAAUGGGCGAAAGCCUGAUCCAGCAAUGCCGCGUGAGUGAUGAAGGCCUUAGGGUUGUAAAGCUCUUUUACCAGGGAUGAUAAUGACAGUACCUGGAGAAUAAGCUCCGGCUAACUCCGUG